AGUGAACGCUGGCGGUAGGCCUAACACAUGCAAGUCGAACGGCAGCACAGUAAGAGCUUGCUCUUACGGGUGGCGAGUGGCGGACGGGUGAGGAAUACAUCGGAAUCUACUUUUUCGUGGGGGAUAACGUAGGGAAACUUACGCUAAUACCGCAUACGACCUACGGGUGAAAGCAGGGGAUCUUCGGACCUUGCGCGAUUGAAUGAGCCGAUGUCGGAUUAGCUAGUUGGCGGGGUAAAGGCCCACCAAGGCGACGAUCCGUAGCUGGUCUGAGAGGAUGAUCCGCCACACUGGAACUGAGACACGGUCCAGACUCCUACGGGAGGCAGCAGUGGCGAAUAUUGGACAAUGGGCGCAAGCCUGAUCCAGCCAUACCGCGUGGGUGAAGAAGGCCUUCGGGUUGUAAAGCCCUUUUGUUGGGAAAGAAAAGCAGCAGGUUAAUACCCCGCUGUUCUGACGGUACCCAAAGAAUAAGCACCGGCUAACUUCGUG
rnacentral:rRNA from 1 species